CGGACGGGUGAGUAAUGUCUGGGAAACUGCCUGAUGGAGGGGGAUAACUACUGGAAACGGUAGCUAAUACCGCAUAACGUCGCAAGACCAAAGAGGGGGACCUUAGGGCCUCUUGCCAUCGGAUGUGCCCAGAUGGGAUUAGCUAGUAGGUGGGGUAACGGCUCACCUAGGCGACGAUCCCUAGCUGGUCUGAGAGGAUGACCAGCCACACUGGAACUGAGACACGGUUCAG
rnacentral:rRNA from 1 species